CCCUCAUCGCACCUGAGACGGUGUUCCUGUCGGCGGAUACAACGUUCGGCAAGGAUGUCACCAUCGAGCCGUUCGUUGUCAUUGGCCCGGGCGUUGCGAUCGACGACGGGGCGGUCAUCCAUUCGUUCUCGAACAUCGUCGGCGCGCGUGUCGGCAAGGGCGCAUCUGUCGGUCCUUACGCGCGGCUGCGGCCAGGCACGGUGCUGGGCGAAGGUGNNNNNUCGAGACCAAGGCCGCGGAUCUUGAGGCCGGGGUGAAGGUUAAUCACCUGACCUAUAUCGG
rnacentral:misc_RNA from 1 species